AAACUGUGGUGCGGGCAUAUGUUCAUCAAGUCCUUGAAUCUCUCCUAACAUACCUGGAAUGUCUCGCCAUAUUUUUGCAUGAACUGACUUAUCUGCUCCUGCAAGUAC